AUGAAUCUUAUUAGUUGGAACUGCCGGGGAGGGGGGAAUACCCGGACAGUUCAAGAGAUAGCGACCAUCUCGCAGUCGCAUUCCCCCACGUUUGUAUUUUUAUGCGAGACAAGGCAAACAACAAAUAAAAUGAAGAGAAUCAGGAGCAGAAUUGGUUUGAAGGGGUCCGAAGGAGUAGAUAGUAUUGGGAUGAGUGGUGGACUAGCAAUGUUUUGGCACGAAUCCUGCGACGUCAACAUUUUGGACAAGGAUGAUCGCUUCAUCGAUGCGCUAGUGCGGGUUAAUCCGGACUCAGUGCAGUGGAGACUGACGUGUGUAUAUGGAGAACCAAGGGUUGAGAAUAGACACAUGAUGUGGACAAAACUAAAGAACCUGAAGAAUGCCAGUAAUCAUCCAUGGUUAGUAGUGGGAGACUUCAACGAAGCUCUCUGGGAUUUUGAGCACUUGUCAGCGACACCAAGACCUAAGGCUCAAAUGUGA
rnacentral:rRNA from 1 species